rnacentral:tmRNA from 1 species
UUCACUAUAUUCACAGUAUAAGAACUGUAUUGUGUCUCAUUAGGCUUAUUAAUCAUUGUUAGGACGAGGGUUCGAAUCCCUCAUGCUCCACAAAACCGCCAGCUCACGCGGUAUAUAAGACAGGAUUGCCGGACCCGCAGGUGUAACGAGAUAAAUACCUGCAUAUGGGGCAUUUUUGGUUUUGACUAGCAAUUAGAAAGAUAAGAUAGGUUCGUUGUGUGUUUAAAUGGCAACUAUGAUGUUGUUACAGACUAUACCGGCUUAGUAGCUGCGUAAAGUCUGCGUGCUAACUACGAAAGUGAGGGAGAUAAUAUAGUUUAAUGGUAGAAUGAUGCUUAUGCAUAGAUCUGGGUUCAAAUCCCAGUAU